UGCUUGAGUUUAGUGCUGGUUUAGGCCAAAACCAUUCUAGUGACCAUUUUAACUCCUUAACUCUGAUAAAAUUCUAGUAUUUGGGAACUUUUAUUACCACUGCCUAACUUCUAGUUUUAGACAAAGAUGACAGAGAGAAAAUUUGACUGAACUGAUGUAGGAAGUCAAGAAGAGUCAUGAUAGAACAUGAAAAACUUUUGUCCAUUCUGGAAGAUGAAAGAGUACAACUUCAUCCAGCACUGAAGAAAAUGGAAUAAGCCAGCAGUCAAUACAGGUGAAUAUUUACUAAUCAUCUCCUACAUAUGAGGGAAAGGGAAAGAGAAACCAUCUCCUCUAGCUGUGACUCAGAGGUAUGACCUCUGCUGAAGUACAGCACAGACUUCACUUGGCAGGUGACAAUUCCAUGCUACGAUUCAAAAUUGCCGAAGUUGAGAAGCUGACAUUUUCAAGAACUGAAGAACUGGAAAAGUGCAUCCUUUUCUUUAAACUUUGAGCUGUCUAGUUUUGGUGCCACCUCAGGCAGAAAAUAAUUUGCUGGAAAUUUCUUCCUGAUUCCCUCAAAUCCCCUCAAACUCUGUGUACAGCAUAUUGGGCCAGAUUCUUGGUUGUGUAUUCCCCAGUAUGAAGUAGCUGCUGAACUCUGUAAUUCCUGAAUGCUUUUGUGAAACUUACAGCUUGCUGGCUGUGUAUGUGUUUACAAUGGUACAUUGGAUUUUUCAAUUAUUUAUAGUUAAAAUGGAUUCUGUCGAAAU